rnacentral:rRNA from 1 species
UACGUAGGGUGCAAGCGUUGUCCGGAAUUAUUGGGCGUAAAGAGCUCGUAGGCGGUCUGUCGCGUCGGCUGUGAAAACCCGAGGCUCAACCUCGGGCCUGCAGUCGAUACGGGCAAACUAGAGUACUGCAGGGGAGACUGGAAUUCCUGGUGUAGCGGUGAAAUGCGCAGAUAUCAGGAGGAACACCGGUGGCGAAGGCGACUUUCUGGCCUGUUCUUGACGCUGAGGCGCGAAAGCUAGGGGAGCAAACGGG